rnacentral:rRNA from 1 species
AGUGGAUGGGGAGCAACCUAGUUGUGCGUGUGUAAAGGUAGUGCCAAGAAAAGCGAUGAUCAUGUUGAAAAUCAAUUCCCGGUACCCGAAACCGACACAGGUGGGCAAGUAGAGAAUACUAAGGGGCGCGAGGUAACUCUCUCCAAGGAACUCGGCAAAAUGACCCCCGUAACUUAGGGAGAAGGGGUGCCACCGAGAGGUGGUCGCAGUGAAGAGGCCCAGGCGACUGUUUAGCAAAAACAUAGGUCUCUGCAAACUCGAAAGAGGAGGUAUAGGGGCUGACGCCUGCCCAGUGCCGGAAGGUUAAAGAAGUUGGUCAGUCUUAGGAUGAAGCUAGCGACUGAAGCCCCGGUGAAAGGCGGCCGUAACUAUAACGGUCCUAAGGUAGCGAAAUUCCUUGUCGGGUAAGUUCCGACCCGCACGAAAGGCGUAACGAUCUGGGCGCUGUCUCGGAGAGAGGCUCGGCGAAAUAGGAUUGUCUGUGAAGAUACGGACUACCUGCAUUUGGACAGAAAGACCCUAUGAAGCUUUACUAUAGCUUGGAAUUGUGUUCGGGCUUCCUGUGCGCAGGAUAGGUGGGAGGCGUAGAAGGUAUUCUUGUGGGGAUACUGGAGCCAACGGUGAGAUACCACUCUCAGGAGGCUAGAAUUCUAACUUAAUUAAGGACAGUUUCAGGUGGGUAGUUUGACUGGGGCGGUCGCCUCCAAAAAGGUAACGGAGGCGUACAAAGGUUCCCUCAGACUGGUUGGAAAUCAGUCGAAGUGUGCAAAGGCAGAAGGGAGCUUGACUGCGAGAAGUACAGUUCGAGCAGGGUGGAAACACGGUCUUAGUGAUCCGACGGUGCUGUGUGGAAGGGCCGUCGCUCAACGGAUAAAAGUUACUCUAAGGAUAACAGGCUGAUCUCCCCCAAGAGUUCACAUCGACGGGGAGGUUUGGCACCUCGAUGUCGGCUCAUCGCAACCUGGGGCGGAAGUACGUCCCAAGGGUUGGGCUGUUCGCCCAUUAAAGCGGUACGUGAGCUGGGUUCAGAACGUCGUGAGACAGUUCGGUCCAUAUCCGAUGUAGGCGUGAGAAUAUUGAGGGGAGCCUUCCUUAGUACGAGAGGACCGGGAAGGACGCACCGCUGGUGUACCUGUUAUGAUGCCAAUUGUAAACGCAGGGUAGCCAAGUGCGGAGAGGAUAACCGCUGAAAGCAUCUAAGUGGGAAGCCCACCUCAAGAUGAGUAUUCUGGUGUAAGGUCACGGGAAGACGACCCGUAAAUAGGCACGAGGUGGAAGUGCAGAGAUGUAUGAAGCCGAAGUGUACUAAUAGACCGUCGGCUUGAC